rnacentral:lncRNA from 1 species
AUGGUGCAUGAAAAAUAUGAAUAGAAACUUGGUACUAUUAUCACUCCAGAUACAUGGAAAGAGGCUACAAAUAUACCACAGAAAUUGGUAGAGAAAAGCUAAAUAAAAAUAAAAAUUUUACUUAAAAAAAGUAAGAGUUAAUCCAAAUGGAAAGAAUAAGUUUCCCACUUAUAGAAUUUGUAUAAGUUCUGGGUACCAACCAGCUUCUCAUUACCAUCACGGCUGUGCCCACAAAAAGGGAAUUUUUAUAGUAUAUGGAAAAAGGUUUUUGUAUUAAAAAAAACUACAAACAAAUGUCUA